UACAGAGGGUGCGAGCGUUAAUCGGAAUUACUGGGCGUAAAGCGCGCGUAGGCGGUUUUGUAAGUCGGGUGUGAAAUCCCCAGGCUCAACCUGGGAACUGCAUUCGAGACUGCAUGACUGGAGUAUGGGAGAGGACAGCGGAAUUUCCGGUGUAGCGGUGAAAUUCGUAGAUAUCGAGAGGAACACCGGUGGCGAAGGCGGCUUCCUGGACAGUUACUGACGCUGAGACGCGAAAGCGUGGGGAGCAAACAGG
rnacentral:rRNA from 1 species